GCACAAGCAGUGGAGCAUGUGGUUUAAUUCGACGCAACGCGAAGAACCUUACCAAGCCUUGACAUCCCCUGACCAGGUAUGAAAGUACCGUCUUUAGCUUGCUAGACAGGGAGACAGGUGGUGCAUGGUUGUCGUCAGCUCGUGUCGUGAGAUGUUGGGUUAAGUCCCGCAACGAGCGCAACCCCUAUUCUGUGUUACCAGCGGUUCGGCCGGGGACUCACAGGAGACUGCCGGAGACAAUUCGGAGGAAGGUGGGGAUGACGUCAAAUCAUCAUGCCCCUUAUGGCUUGGGCGACACACGUGCUACAAUGGCCGGCACAGAGGGCUGCGAUGGGGCGACCCAGAGCCAAUCCCUUAAAACCGGUCCCAGUUCGGAUCGGAGGCUGCAACCCGCCUCCGUGAAGCCGGAAUUGCUAGUAAUCGCGGAUCAGAACGCCGCGGUGAAUACGUUCCCGGGCCUU
rnacentral:rRNA from 1 species